rnacentral:rRNA from 1 species
AUGCCAACUGUAGUGAUCAGAGAGCCAACCACCAUCAGAGGAGUUCAACAGAUCAAGGGGAAGACUCCUCUUUCAGCAGUCCCACCUAAACCACCUAAGCAGCAAAAGAUUGUCAAGUUUGCCAAGGGCACAAAGGGGAAACAGGGCACAAAAGGUUUGGGGUUCAGAGACGAGACAGAACUGCAUGCCGCAACCAUUGAUGCAGGGGUGCCAAGUUCUGCUAGGUUGCUGCCAACUCAGACUGGAAAGAUGCCAACUACAGAUACCAGUGUGCCAACUGAUGUGCCAGUUAGCAGCGUGGUCACAGUCAAAACCACCACUGCUGCUGAGGGAGGCACCACUGCAACUGCAAGCCCCAAGGUGUCUACUCAUAGAGAUAAUUCAAUGCCAGACAUGAAAGGAGAUGGUGAUGCUCCAGCACCUGCUCCAGCAGUAGAAACAGCGAAAGCCGGUGCUGUUGCCAUAGAUGAGGGUGAGUUAGACCCAGCAGCUUUGAAUGAAGGAUGCGCUACUGCUGAUGCUGGCAAGGCAAUAGCUCAAGAGCCAGAUGUUGGAUCACCAGACAAUUGCCACACCCCGAUAGGUGAACUAGAAGUUGGCACAAGCAGUUCUUCAGGACCACCUGUUGCACGAAGACAGAGGAGGGUAAUAAGGCCUGCAGCAUCUCAAAGGUCUCUAGUCAUUAACAACAACAAGAAGAAGACGUUCACCUCCAAUGAGGCAGUCAACAAGCUUUACGCUGCCCUCAUGUAUUGGGUCAGGCAUAUUCCAGGAGCAAAUAAUGAGGCUACCAGCGUGUAUCUGUGUCUGAAUCAUUCACACGUGCAGGUCAUGCUGCCAGUGCUCGAGUGCGCUGAUAUAAAUGAUAAGGAGGGAGGGAGGCAUUAUUGGGUUUUCAAUGUCAACUUGAGGGACGGACGUUUCGAAGUUCUUGAUUCAAGCAGGAAGCUGGACAAUAUUGAGCUCAUGAACACCGCCUCUACCAUCGCGGGUACAGUACGCCACCUAUGGAGGAAGCAUUACCCAAAGUUCAGCAUCGAGCACUUCCAGAUUAUUGACAUUGGCGUACCAAAGCAGCUCGGCAACAAUGAGUGUGGGUUAUCCACACUUCUUAACGCCAUUGAGUGGAACGGUAGCCAACUGCCCAACUACGAACCCAAGGAAGUACUCAACAUCAGGAAGAAGCUGGCAUAUGAUUGGGUCACCAGCCCGCACAACUCCGCCCCAUAG